GAUGAACGCUGGCGGCGUGCCUAAUACAUGCAAGUCGAGCGAACAGACGAGGAGCUUGCUCCUCUGACGUUAGCGGCGGACGGGUGAGUAACACGUGGAUAACCUACCUAUAAGACUGGGAUAACUUCGGGAAACCGGAGCUAAUACCGGAUAAUAUAUUGAACCGCAUGGUUCAAUAGUGAAAGACGGUUUUGCUGUCACUUAUAGAUGGAUCCGCGCCGCAUUAGCUAGUUGGUAAGGUAACGGCUUACCAAGGCAACGAUGCGUAGCCGACCUGAGAGGGUGAUCGGCCACACUGGAACUGAGCCACGGUCCAGACUCCUGCGGGAGGCAGCAGUAGGGAAUCUUCCGCAAUGGGCGAAAGCUUGACGGAGCAACGCCGCGUGAGUGAUGAAGGUCUUCGGAUCGUAAAACUCUGUUAUUAGGGAAGAACAAAUGUGUAAGUAACUAUGCACGUCUUGACGGUACCUAAUCAGAAAGCCACGGCUAACUACGUG
rnacentral:rRNA from 1 species